rnacentral:tRNA from 1 species
GACUCCGGGGCGCAACGGUAGGUCGUCUGACUUCGAAUUAGGGGGUUGGGUGUUCGAAUCACGCCGUGGUCA